CCGUACACAAUGUGUUAAUACAUCGAUACGACCGAGAUAAGCGGCUGCAUGGUAUUGGUAUACGUGUACUAAACACAUUAUCAUUUCUCUCUCUCUCUCUCUUUGUUUUUAUUAUUAAAAUACCAUCAUAUGUCCCCUAAAAAUUCCUCGUUAUUUUUACUUUUAAAGAAAAUCCCAAAGAAAUUCGUUUCUUCGUCAAAUAUACUUCACAAAGAUUAACAUUGCGUUCAACGAGACAAAAUUGAUUCGCACGCUUCCUCUGUGUUCGCUCGCAAAGAAGCUGUCUUCUGCUACGCGUAUCGGAUUAUCCAAUGGAAUUGCACGCCGGUACAACCCUUAUUUUCUGCAAAGGUGCGGAACCCUUCAUUCCUCUAUCUCGGCUAAUUUAAUAGCGUAUCGGGAAGGAGUAACGACUGGCGGAAAAAGCGUGCAGCUAUUUGCACGUCGGUGUCGCGGCUUUUUACCGCACCGAUCGGUCGAGUGGUACGCGAGGGUUACGCGGCCGUGCGAGAAGCGGCGCGUUAGCUCGCACACAGGGCUACAGUUUAUAUGGGCUUUUCGAGAUGGUGAUCCGAGAUGUGCGGCGUGCGUGCGUCACGCGGAUCAGUACCGGAUAUCCGUGAGGCGACUGCAGUCGAGGCGGGAUAUGCGGGCGCAGUUGUACCGAGCCGAAUGGAGAGGAGCAUAUAGCGACUUACAAAAGUGUUACAACAUCCUUCGAAACUUUCGACUAACUUUUCUAACACAUCGAGGAUGAAUUCGCGUCUUACAAAAUAUAAUUAACCACUUCCAUAAUUUUUAGACUUCCUUGUCUUUUUAAGUAAAUGAAUAUUAGUCCUCGAUACUUGGAAAAAUGCGCGUUAGACAGCGUGUAGGUUGGCUUGUUGUAGGUUAGAAACGUAUAGCCUGCUGUGGUGCGCGCGGUUGGCUGUGUUAACCCUUUGCACUCGGAAUUUUAUUUCAAUUUCGCUACCAGCAGCUCCCAACGCUUUUAAGUGUUUUAUUUGAAAUUUACUUUAACUAAAAAAUAAGACGAUUUAAAUAAAUAAAGGAAGAAAGAAAUUCGCUUAAAUACCAGUUUUAUUCACACUAUUGUUGUGUUUUUUAAUUUUUAAGUGUAUGAUAUAUCUUGAAACAAUUUCCAGGAUGCAAUCCUGGUUUUCUUUCGCAAGUUUCACAAAAAACAUGAAAGAAUGUCGAGUGCGUCUCGACAAAGGAGCUCUUGAGAUAAAAACUGAUGUCGAGUCACACUCUACAUAGGAGUGCAAAGGGUUAAAAGUGAAAGAGGAAAGAAGAACAAGAAGAAAAGUAGGAGAAAAUGGAAAUUAAAGGAGCGAAGAUUAAUGCGUGAUGCGUGGUAGAGAUUAGAGCGGUGGUUACAGCGGAGGUGAGGAGGUUAAGGGGGUCGCGAGAGAAUUGCGAAGCAGUUCAGGUUGUAUUGCCCUGUUUCGCCACCUAUCCGCGAAAUCUAGUUUCAAAAAUCUGUCACGUGAGUCGGUAAUGGAGUGCGUAGCUAACUACAAUCGACGACGUGUAUAUUCAUCAAACGCAUUCAACGCGUUCAGUUCAAAUUUAUUUCGAAAUAUCGGCAACAGGAGAACUAGUUCUCUGUUCGUAGCUUCGAUAAUGCAAGAAAAGUGCCAACGCUUGGACCACCAUUUUGCCAAUCCAAUACUUGUCGAAAUACUUGCGGACGAUGGUGUAUGUUAGAUCUUUUGAAAAGACGCAACGACGACAUUCCACAGAUGGAAAAGAAGGAGAGUUUACGACUCGGUCGUGCGAUUUGACGAUAUUCCGAGAGAAGUGUGUGACGGGCAUAAAUUUCGUCGGCGAGAGAUCGAUAAACGUUGCUUUAUGGUUUCCUUGAUUUCGCUCGUUUACUCUGUGCUCACGGUGGAACACGAGGAAAGUAAUCGAGAAGGUUUUAUCGCCGACACGGAGGGGGUCCCUUCGUUUCAACGUUCAUCGUUUAAUUGUUCGCGUUUUAUUCGCAGAGAUUCGUAAGAUGGAGAUCCUCCGGCUGCUUUAAAUCAAUAUACACCGGUGCGUACAGACAAACGAGGAAAGUGUUCGUACUAGAGAAGCGAAUUGUUCGACCACCUGCCGCUUUGCUGUUCCAAUGUUUGAACAUUUUACUAUUACAGAGUUUUCGGCUUAUCGAAAUUUCACAGUAGAAGAGACAGGCCAAACAAAAAUUCGACGUACGUAAGCUUCGUACGAAUACGAAUAUGAUCGCAUUUGUGUAUGAUCAGAUUGUGUUUGUAUUUGCAGCUUCCUCUUGCAGCUCAUUUUAUUCGACCCACUGGCAAUACCGAUAGGAUGAAUACAAUUCAUGUACAGUCGAACCACGAGAAUUAAAAUCUUCAAAUUAAAAAGGUUUUGACUUAUCAAAAUUUCCAGUAAAAGAAUCAUAGCAAAGGAAAAUUUGACAUACAGAAGUUUUGAACGAUGGGAAAAAUUCAAGAAAGUUUGUAGAAAACACUGUAAGUGGCAAGCUUGACAAAUUUUGAUUUUUCAUUGGGAAAUGUUUUAUAUACCAGUGAGAA